GGACAAGGUAUCAGUCAACUUCAUGGUCCAAUUGCUAACCUUGAUGUUUCACUAGAAGACAUGCAAGAAUAGACAAAAACAGGACCUUGCCAUAGUAUGUACUGAAGCAAAAUUGUUCCUGUAUGCAUUCUCAUGAAUGGCUUAUAUCAAGCAGUCUCUUGAACAUGAACAAAUAAAUCUUUUUAUUUGAAAUACUAUAUUUCAUCUAUUCUCUUAUAAGUUAUAACAAUGAAGGCCAGAAAGCCAAAACCCAUUUUCGAUCGAAUUGUAAGCCUAGCAGUGUUCCUCUUAUUGUGAUGUUGGAAUGCCUACUGAUUUCCAAAUAAUUACAGCUUCAAUAAACACAAGCUCUGAAUCAUUUUUGCAUGCUAGUGGAAGCUUUACCAAGGGAGUACAACCGGGAUAGUUCUUCCUCAAGAUAUGUAAACCUAUUAAUUACUAUUAGUUGACUAUCUCCAGAAUGUGUAAAAAAUUCUGCAAGGUGAAUUUUCAUAUCUCUAGCCGUGAAUCCUAAAAUAAAUUUAACAGCAAUCAUAGGGUGAGAGGCAUGGUUUUAAAUCGUAAACGCGGUCACGUUCACAGUCACGAUAGUAGGUAAUAGAAACAGGUCUGUAACGGCGGUAACGUAUCGCUAACGGCCUGGUGUUACACAAAUUUUUUUGGAAAAAUUUGCA
rnacentral:misc_RNA from 1 species